UUCGUAAAAGAAGUGUAUGUACCGUUAC
rnacentral:piRNA from 1 species